GGCCCAUGACACAAUGGUAGUGCAUCUAACUCCAGAUCAGAAGGUUGUGUGUUCAAAUCAUAUAGAGGUCA
rfam:Cricetulus griseus cell line CHO-K1, whole genome shotgun sequence.